UUGUACAACCCUACCACCCUGAAUGUGCCCAAUCUUGUCUGAUCUUGGAAGCUAAGCAGGGUUAGGCCUGGUUAAUAUUUGGAUAGAAGUGUGCCUGGGAAUACCAGGUGCUGUAGGCU
rnacentral:rRNA from 1 species